rnacentral:rRNA from 1 species
CGACUCUCGGCAACGGAUAUCUCGGCUCUCGCAUCGAUGAAGAACGUAGCGAAAUGCGAUACUUGGUGUGAAUUGCAGAAUCCCGUGAACCAUCGAGUCUUUGAACGCAAGUUGCGCCCAAAACCACUCGGUUGAGGGCACGUCUGCCUGGGCGUCACGC